rnacentral:rRNA from 1 species
AACGAACGCUGGCGGCAUGCCUAACACAUGCAAGUCGAACGAAGGCUUCGGCCUUAGUGGCGCACGGGUGCGUAACGCGUGGGAAUCUGCCCUUUGGUUCGGAAUAACAGCUGGAAACGGCUGCUAAUACCGGAUGAUGACGAAAGUCCAAAGAUUUAUCGCCAGAGGAUGAGCCCGCGUUGGAUUAGGUAGUUGGUGGGGUAAAGGCCUACCAAGCCGACGAUCCAUAGCUGGUCUGAGAGGAUGAUCAGCCACACUGGGACUGAGACACGGCCCAGACUCCUACGGGAGGCAGCAGUGGGGAAUAUUGGACAAUGGGCGCAAGCCUGAUCCAGCAAUGCCGCGUGAGUGAUAAAGGCCCUAGGGUUGUAAAGCUCUUUUACCCGGGAAGAUAAUGACUGUACCGGGAGAAUAAGCCCCGGCUAACUCCGUG